CUUGCUACGUGGCAUCGAGCGACGGACGGGUGAGUAAUGCAUAUGAAUCUGCCCGAUAGUGGGGGAUAACCUGGGGAAACUCAGGCUAAUACCGCAUACUUCCUACGGGAGAAAGCAGGGGAUCUUCCGACCUUGCGCUAUCGGAUGAGCCUAUGUCGGAUUAGCUAGUUGGUGAGGUAACGGCUCACCAAGGCGACGAUCCGUAGCUGGUCUGAGAGGAUGAUCAGCCACACUGGGACUGAGACACGGCACAGACUCCUACGGGAGGCAGCAGUGGGGAAUUUUGGAAAAUGGGGGAAACCCUGAUUCCAGCCAUGCCCGCGUGUUUAAAAAAGUCCUUCGGGUUGUAAAGCAUUUUAAGUGGGGAAGAAGGCUUGGGGGUUAAUACCCCUCAGGAAGGACAUCACUCGCAGAAGAAGCACGGGCUAAUUCGGUGCCAGCAGCCGCGGUAAUACGGAGGGUGCGAGCGUUAAUGGGAAUUACUGGGCGUAAAGCGCGCGUAGGUGGUUUGAUAAGCCGGUUGUGAAAGCCCCGGGCUCAACCUGGGAACGGCAUCCGGAACUGUCAGGCUAGAGUGCAGGAGAGGAAGGUAGAAUUCCCGGUGUAGCGGUGAAAUGCGUAGAGAUCGGGAGGAAUACCAGUGGCGAAGGCGGCCUUCUGGACUGACACUGACACUGAGGUGCGAAAGCGUGGGUAGCAAACAGGAUUAGAUACCUUGGUAGUCCACGCCGUAAAGGAUGUCGAUUAGCCGUUGGGGUCCUUGAGACCUUUGUGGCGCAGUUAACGCGAUAAGUCGACCGCCUGGGGAGUACGGCCGCAAGGUUAAAACUCAAAUGAAUUGACGGGGGCCCGCACAAGCGGUGGAGCAUGUGGUUUAAUUGGAUGCAACGCGAAGAACCUUACCUACCCUUGACAUCGUGCGAACUUUCCAGAGAUGGAUUGGUGCCUUCGGGAACGCACAGCCAGGUGCUGCAUGGCUGUCGUCAGCUCGUGUUGUGAAAUGUUGGGUUAAGUCCCGUAACGAGCGCAACCCUUGUCCCUAUUUGCCAGAGAUUCGGUCGGGAACUCUAGGGAGACUGCCGGUGACAAACCGGAGGAAGGUGGGGACGACGUCAAGUCAUCAUGGCCCUUACGGGUAGGGCUACACACGUGCUACAAUGGUCGGUACAAAGGGUUGCAAAGCCGCGAGGUGGAGCUAAUCCCAUAAAGCCGGUCGUAGUCCGGAUCGGAGUCUGCAACUCGACUCCGUGAAGUCGGAAUCGCUAGUAAUCGGGAAUCAGAAU
rnacentral:rRNA from 1 species